rnacentral:rRNA from 1 species
AGAGUUUGAUCCUGGCUCAGAACGAACGCUGGCGGCAGGCCUAACACAUGCAAGUCGAGCGCAUCUUCGGAUGAGCGGCGGACGGGUGAGUAACGCGUGGGAACGUGCCCUUCCGUUCGGGAUAGCCCCGGGAAACUGGGAUUAAGACCGGAUACGCCCCUUGGGGGAAGGAAGGAUCGGCCCGCGUCUGAUUAGGUAGUUGGUGGGGUAACGGCCUACCAAGCCUACGAUCAGUAGCUGGUUUUAGAGGAUGAUCAGCCACACUGGGACUGAGACACGGCCCAGACUCCUACGGGAGGCAGCAGUGGGGAAUCUUAGACAAUGGGCGCAAGCCUGAUCUAGCCAUGCCGCGUGAGUGACGAAGGCCCUAGGGUCGUAAAGCUCUUUCGCCUGUGAAGAUAAUGACGGUAGCAGGUAAAGAAACCCCGGCUAACUCCGUGCCAGCAGCCGCGGUAAUACGGAGGGGGUUAGCGUUGUUCGGAAUUACUGGGCGUAAAGCGCGCGUAGGCGGAUCGGAAAGUUGGGGGUGAAAUCCCGGGGCUCAACCCCGGAACGGCCUCCAAAACUGUCGGUCUUGAGUUCGAGAGAGGUGAGUGGAAUUCCGAGUGUAGAGGUGAAAUUCGUAGAUAUUCGGAGGAACACCAGUGGCGAAGGCGGCUCACUGGCUCGAUACUGAC